UAGGGAAUCUUCGGCAAUGGACGAAAGUCUGACCGAGCAACGCCGCGUGAGUGAAGAAGGUUUUCGGAUCGUAAAACUCUGUUGUUAGAGAAGAACAAGGACGUUAGUAACUGAACGUCCCCUGACGGUAUCUAACCAGAAAGCCACGGCUAACUACGUGCCAGCAGCCGCGGUAAUACGUAGGUGGCAAGCGUUGUCCGGAUUUAUUGGGCGUAAAGCGAGCGCAGGCGGUUUCUUAAGUCUGAUGUGAAAGCCCCCGGCUCAACCGGGGAGGGUCAUUGGAAACUGGGAGACUUGAGUGCAGAAGAGGAGAGUGGAAUUCCAUGUGUAGCGGUGAAAUGCGUAGAUAUAUGGAGGAACACCAGUGGCGAAGGCGGCUCUCUGGUCUGUAACCGACGCUGAGGCUCGAAAGCGUGUGGAGCAAACAGG
rnacentral:rRNA from 1 species